GUAAACCCGUCGUCCCAUCCGGCGGUGGAUCGACAUGUCGCAUCUUCUCCAUCUAGCGGCAGCGGCGGCGGUGGGGGGCGAGGACGAGGAGACCGCGGCUUCUCCUGGCAGGGGCGGUGAACUUGGAGAUGAAGACGCCCCCAUGGUGCUAGCUCCCCACCGCAGCUAUGAAGGAAGGCAGAAGUCCAACCUUCCACGCAGUGAAGCCUCCUUGGUGAUGAGGACGAGGAAAUCGCAGCUUCUCUGUGCAGCGGCAGAAGGCGAGGAGGUCGUGACUUCUCUAGGCGGCAGACAUAGAGAUCAGGACAUCCCUAUGAUCCAAGUUCAUUGUCACAGCAGCGAAGGAAAUCAGAGAUCCAUUCCUCGCGGUGGAGUUUUCAUGGUGGCGACCCAAGGACAGGUAAACUGUUGCCCGAUCCAUAGUAGCGCUUGAUUCUUGUUGCUCGAUUCUUGUCAACAUUAGGUGUUGCUAAUGAUUAGGGAGUGAUUGGGUAGGAUUUUGGUGAUUAGGACAGGAUGAAUCAUUUCAAUUUCCGGUUCUUGUCAACCUUUCUGUAUGAUUAGGACACGAUGAAUCAUUACAAUUUCCGGUUCUUGUCAACCUUUCUUACAGAAUAAUGAUGAGAUAAAUGUGGAAAAUGAUAAAUGUGGGGGCGAUUAGUUAGGAUUUGGGUGAUUAGGGACAGGAUGUGCGAGUACAUCCUGGAACUGAGGGAUUUUAAUGUUUCUUUCUACCUUACUAAUUGAUGUUUCCUGCUCUGAAUGUCGCAUAGUUAACUAUACUUUAGUGUGUCCGUAUGACACUAUAUCAAAAACUUUGUGGUUGUGAUUCUCCAAACAUUCUGUGAUAGUCAUUGUGAGUGAACAACCAUCAGGUUUCUGAAAUGUACACUCGCUGCAACCACAAGGUAGGGGGUGAACAGCUAGCUAGCUCAGUCAGAGUUGGAUUCAGCUGUGCUAGUCAUUGUGAAUUUAGGAACUUAAUAUUAGUAAAUGGAUAUUUCUUUAUGAUCAGCAAUGGAAAUGCGGCCCUAACUAGCUUACCAGUCAUUGUGUCCUAUUCUCCGAUCAAUCCUAAUCAGCCUAACUGUUCAAAAAUAGCCAAAGAUGUUCUUGUAGUACAAGUGUCUACGGUAGCUUCAGAGUCUGCUUUUAGCAUCAGUGGUCGAGUGGUUUCUCCCUUUCGGAGCUCUUUGUCACCCAAGAUGGUUGAGGCACUGAGAUGUGCACAGAGCUGGCUACAUUCAUCGCCCAGGAAUGUGGAUCUAGAAGAAAUCAUAAGAGAUUUAAAAAAUUGUGAAGCACUUGAAGAAGAGCUUGCAGAGUUGAAUUGUGGAGAUUAGAGUUCCUUCCUGUCAUUUGAAGCAAGAGAAUGGCUUAAGAGGAGCCGGGCGCUUGUGACAUUUUUCUCUCUCUGAGGGCCUGAUGAGCAACCGCGAGCAUGCAUGUAUGCUUGCCUCUGCAACAGCGAAGGGCUGAUGCCACUGCCGGAGCUAGAUUCCAUGUCCUUCCGGCCAGCCGGCCGGUAGCUAGCUCUCUCGUUAGUCUCUUGAGCGUGCAUCUGGUCCCCGUAGCUACACGCCUGUGCCACAGUCCACACUCCGCAGCUAGUAGUACCCCUCCCAUCUCUUCCUUUACUCGGAAAUUUCGUUGCCUUCCGAAAUAAGGCCUUGUUUAGUUGCCCAACUUUGGGCAACCAAAAUUCCUGUAGCAACACUGUAGCGUUUCGUUUGUAUUUGUGAAUUAUUAUCCAAAUAUUGACUAAUUAGGCUCA